UAGGGAAUCUUCCACAAUGGACGCAAGUCUGAUGGAGCAACGCCGCGUGAGUGAAGAAGGUUUUCGGAUCGUAAAGCUCUGUUGUUGGUGAAGAAGGAUAGAGGCAGUAACUGGUCUUUAUUUGACGGUAAUCAACCAGAAAGUCACGGCUAACUACGUGCCAGCAGCCGCGGUAAUACGUAGGUGGCAAGCGUUGUCCGGAUGUAUUGGGCGUAAAGCGAGCGCAGGCGGAAUGAUAAGUCUGAUGUGAAAGCCCACGGCUCAACCGUGGAACUGCAUCGGAAACUGUCAUUCUUGAGUACAGAAGAGAAGAGUAGAAUUCCAUGUGUAGAGGUGGGAUGCGUAGAUAUAUGGAAGAACACCAGUGGCGAAGGCGGCUCUCUGGUCUGCAACUGACGCUGAGGCUCGAAAGCAUGGGUAGCGAAAAGG
rnacentral:rRNA from 1 species